rnacentral:rRNA from 1 species
CUAAUACAUGCAAGUCGAGCGGAUCAGAUAGGAGCUUGCUCCUUGACGAUUAGCGGCGGACGGGUGAGUAACACGUGGGCAACCUACCUGUAAGACUGGGAUAACUCGCGGAAACGCGAGCUAAUACCGGAUAAUUUCUUUCUUCACAUGAAGAGAGGUUGAAAGACGGCUUUGCUGUCACUUACAGAUGGGCCCGCGGCGCAUUAGUUAGUUGGUGAGGUAACGGCUCACCAAGGCCACGAUGCGUAGCCGACCUGAGAGGGUGAUCGGCCACACUGGGACUGAGACACGGCCCAGACUCCUACGGGAGGCAGCAGUAGGGAAUCUUCCGCAAUGGACGAAAGUCUGACGGAGCAACGCCGCGUGAGUGAAGAAGGUUUUCGGAUCGUAAAACUCUGUUAUCAGGGAAGAACAAGUAUCGGAGUCACUGCCGGUACCUUGACGGUACCUGGCCAGAAAGCCACGGCUAACUACGUGCCAGCAGCCGCGGUAAUACGUAGGUGGCAAGCGUUGUCCGGAAUUAUUGGGCGUAAAGCGCGCGCAGGCGGUUUUCUAAGUCUGAUGUGAAAUCUUGCGGCUCAACCGUGAGCGGUCAUUGGAAACUGGAGAACUUGAGUGCAGAAGAGAAGAGCGGAAUUCCACGUGUAGCGGUGAAAUGCGUAGAGAUGUGGAGGAACACCAGUGGCGAAGGCGGCUCUUUGGUCUGUAACUGACGCUGAGGCGCGAAAGCGUGGGGAGCGAACAGGAUUAGAUACCCUGGUAGUCCACGCCGUAAACGAUGAGUGCUAAGUGUUAGAGGGUUUCCGCCCUUUAGUGCUGCAGCAAACGCAUUAAGCACUCCGCCUGGGGAGUACGGCCGCAAGGCUGAAACUCAAAGGAAUUGACGGGGGCCCGCACAAGCGGUGGAGCAUGUGGUUUAAUUCGAAGCAACGCGAAGAACCUUACCGGUCUGACAUCCUUAUGCUGCCCUAGAGAUAGGAGUCCCUCCGGGACAUAAUGACAGUGUGCAUGUGUCGUCAGCUCGUUCGUGAAAUGUGGGUUAGUCCCGCACGAGCCAACCUUAUUGUCAGUUGCCAGCAUUAUUGGGCACCUCG